rnacentral:rRNA from 1 species
GACAGAGGAGGCAAGCGUUGUUCGGAAUUACUGGGCGUAAAGGGUGCGUAGGCGGUUGGCUAAGUUUGGUGUGAAAUCUCCCGGCUUAACUGGGAGGGUGCGCCGAAAACUGGCUGGCUAGAGUGUGGGAGAGGGAAGUGGAAUUCCUGGUGUAGCGGUGAAAUGCGUAGAUAUCAGGAGGAACACCUGAGGUGUAGACGGCUUCCUGGACCAUUACUGACGCUGAGGCACGACAGCGUGGGGAGCAAACAGG